rnacentral:rRNA from 1 species
AUUGAACGCUGGCGGCAGGCCUAACACAUGCAAGUCGAAUGGUAACAGGAAACAGCUUGCUGUUUCGCUGACGAGUGGCGGACGGGUGAGUAAUGUCUGGGAAACUGCCUGAUGGAGGGGGAUAACUACUGGAAACGGUAGCUGAUACCGCAUAACGUCGCAAGACCAAAGAGGGGGACCUUCGGGCCUCUUGCCAUCAGAUGUGCCCAGAUGGGAUUAGCUAGUAGGUGGGGUAACGGCUCACCUAGGCGACGAUCCCUAGCUGGUCUGAGAGGAUGACCAGCCACACUGGAACUGAGACACGGUCCAGACUCCUACGGGAGGCAGCAGUGGGGAAUAUUGCACAAUGGGCGCAAGCCUGAUGCAGCCAUGCCGCGUGUAUGAAGAAGGCCUUCGGGUUGUAAAGUACUUUCAGCGGGGAGGAAGGGAGUAAAGUUAAUACCUUUGCUCAUUGACGUUACCCGCAGAAGAAGCACCGGCUAACUCCGUG